rnacentral:rRNA from 1 species
AUGGCGGUGGCCGGCGUCGAGGGCAAGCCGCUGCGGCUGAAGGAUCUCCUGGAGCUGGACUGUGACUCGUGCAGCGCCGCCGGCUUCCGCUGCUACCCGCGCCAUCUCUGCGUCCCAGCAGCGGCGCCGCAGCGAGCGCGCCACAACGCCCUCCACGAGGCGGCCGAGGCGCCUCGCGGCCUCGGGCGAUCGCCCUCCCUGCGGCACCCCUUGCUCUCGAUCAGGACCCUCUCGCGCCGGCUCAGGGACGGCUUCAGCUGGAGGCGCCGGGAGGAGGAGGAGGAGGAGGCGGCGGCACCGGUGCCCGCCGUGAGCAGCGGCAGCAGCAGCUCCGACUCGGAGUCGUCGGAGUCGGGGCCGUCGACCGAGAGGAAAUCCGAGUCCGACUUCUCAGCAAGCUCCACGGAGAGCCUGCACGCCGGCGCCACCUGCACGAGAGAAGAAGAUAAGGAGGCGAUGGACAGGGGAUCCAAGGAGGCGGACGACAAGGAGCAGCUCAGCCCAGUGGCGGUCAUGGACUUCCCGUUCGACGACGACUACGAGGACGACGCCGUGGAAGAGGAGGACGGGAGGGUCGGCGGUACCGGCGCGUGCUCGACCUCUUUCAGCGACAGCCUCGCGCAGCUUCACCAGAGGAGAAAUAUACAGAUGCACUACAAGAUCAGACGACGGUUCGGGAGCGUCGGGGAGGUUGGAGCCGUGGAUCUCGACGAAAGCUUCGCCGCCUCGGACUCCGACGGCCUCGGCACCGUCCCGGUACAGCAGCCAGAGUAUUUCUGCGCAGCAACGGCACCGACAUGUCCCGAGGGUCACCGGAGAGUCGGCGUAUGCGAAGACCCCAACGAGCACAACCUCCUCGGCACCGUCUCGGCGGUCUGCGCCUCCGAGCGGCUCCUACUCGACUUCUUCGCCGAGACGCGAAAGAACGGCACGUCAAAAAACUUUGAAGCCGCGGCGAGAAUGGCCGAGGGAUGGAUCCAAGGCACGGGGGUUCGGUGGGGUCUCAAGGAGGUAUUGUGCGGCCGGGAGCGCCUUGUUGCGGAGAUGGAUCGGAGCCAACGGUGGUCAGCACGCGCCGGCGAGGCGGAAGAGGAGCGUGAGAUCGGCGUGGUAGUGGCGGGCUUGCUCAUCGACGAGCUGGUGACCGACCUGGUCACGGAUCUGCUUAUGUAG